UGUAUUGCUGACAACAAAAAGCACAACUUAAGAAAAUCAGUAUUAGGAAGCAGCUGUUGAAAGGGUUCGUUGUUACUGGAAAUUGCUCACAAGGCUACCUGAGGUUUUGCUGCUUUCAGUGUGCCGUUGUUGAACAUCUUAGGACACUGCAUUCCUGAUGCUUUUUUUUGGCAACCGAAACAAGAGUCAGAGUUCAUAUUAACAGUGCUUCUUGAUACCAUCAUGUUGCUGCAGAAUCCUCUUGGUGGCCAGAGUUCUGGAGUGGACCCUGAGUUGUCUUAUUUCUUUUCCAGUCUUGGGACCAUGAGAGGCAAUGGUAGCAUUCUUGUUAAAAACAAUUCAUCUACUGUAAAUACUUGAAAACUUUCCACUUGUGAUUGCUUUCACAAGGAGAAGUGCUGGAGCUUUUUGUGUCACCAGUAGAAUGUGUUUGCAGCAGAUUACAUUUCAUACUGAACAUGGACUCAAUAAAUACUGCACUGCUUUUCAGGCUGGGUUGUUUAACGUACUUCUUAGUAACUUUUCAAUGUGACAUUUCAAUUCGGAACUUAUAUUUUUUGGAAAGCAGAAGCAGAUUUCUCUGGGGGUAGAGUGUUAUGUGCUAGAAGAGUUUGGAAGACAGUUUUUUCUACUAAAGAGGAACAUGUGGUGCAAAACCAUUUAGCAGCUUUUUAGGAACAUGAUGAAGAUAGUUCUUUUUUCCAUCAGAGUUGUUAGAAGAACAUCUCAUUCUUGAUGAGACUACUUCUACAGUAAUUUCAUACUAAUUUUCCUCACUCAUUGAUGUUCUCUUUCACUUGCAUGUUUUUUACCUGAUUCUUGGAGGAUGCAGAGGGAAGAAUGAUGCAAAAAAGACCAGUUUACUAGUGUAAAUAUAUUUCAAGGGACUUUCUUGUAAAUCUCUUAGUCAGCCAUUGACACCAGCCAUACCCUAUCAACAUUCUAGGAACUUUUGUGCAGAGUAUUGUGAUGAUAAGUAAUUUGGCUUAUCAAGUAACAGGGGAAAGUUGUUCACAUGUAAAGAGCUGUGAAUUGUUUUAUGGCUGUAAGAAACAUCUUGUAGAUAAGUAAGAUUAAAAAAUGGCUUUACACUUCACUGA